AGCAAGUGAAAGCUGUAAGACAGGUCCUUGGCCAAAACCUAGAAUACUGACCUCACCAAGGAUACAGGCUCUACAUCAAGGCAGCUACACCAGCAUACUUCUGAGAAUCAGGAUUCUGCAGCUAUUGUUGCAAAUUCUGCAAAGUCAACUCAAGGGAGGGAAAAAAAAGAUUUAUAGUCAGUUCCUGCCAUAAUGAAUGCCCUUUGGUUCCUGUCUGCUCUCACCUAUGGACUUUUGUUGCUUAAGGAGAGCACCUGCUGGACAUAUCAUUAUUCACUUGAAACCAUGAAUUAUAUAGAAGCUGAGAAAUGGUGUAAAACCCACUUUACCCACCUGGUUGCGAUUCAAAAUAAGGAGGAAAAUGAGUACUUAAACAAAGAGAUCCCUUACAAUGGAUCGUACUACUGGAUUGGGAUCAGAAAAAUUGGCAAUGUGUGGAGGUGGGUGGGAACAAACAAGGCAUUGACUGAAGAAGCUAAAAACUGGGCUAAAGGUGAACCAAACAACAAAGGGAAAAACCAGGACUGCGUGGAAAUCUACAUCAACCGAAUACAAGAUGCAGGAAAGUGGAAUGAUGAACGUUGCAGCAAUAAGAAAAGGGCUUUGUGCUAUACAGCCUCCUGUAAUCUGCAUUCCUGCAGCGGCCAUGGCAAAUGUAUGGAGACUAUUAAUAAUUACACCUGCCAGUGUGAUACAGGAUUCUACGGGCGCAAUUGUGAACAUGUAAUUACUUGUGACACACUGAAAGAACCAGAUCAUGGUACCUUAGAAUGCAGCCACCCAGUGAAGGAUUUUAGCUACAACUCGUCUUGUCACGUUCAAUGCACCGAAGGCUACAAAUCUACUGGUCUGGAACCAGUAUUGUGCACCGAUUCUGGGAACUGGUCGGCACCCACCCCUUUGUGUAAAGUUGCGGAAUGCCAUACGCUCCAGACACCUGCUCACGGUUUCCUCAACUGCUCCCACCCCUCUGGGAAUUUUGCCUGGAAUUCGUCAUGUGAGUUUGGCUGUAAAGCUGGCUUUGCCUUGAGUGGCUCCAGCAGGCUGCAGUGUCAGGCAUCUGGAGAGUGGGACGGACAACUGCCAGUCUGUGAAGCGGUGAAAUGUGAAGCAGUACCUUGGCCUGAAAAUGGCUCCGUGAGUUGCUCCCAUGUGGACGCAGAACUAACCUACAACUCAACCUGUGAUUUCGUGUGCGAGCAGGGCUACACCUUAAGAGGAUCGCCUCAAAUUCAGUGCUCAUCUGAGGGACGCUGGUCACAGCCAAUCCCUGCAUGUGAAGCUGUAGCGUGUAGUGAACUGAAACCUCCGGCUCAUGGCUUCUUGAACUGCUCUCACGCUUCCGGGUAUUUUUCCUGGAAUUCAACCUGCAAGUUUGCUUGUGCAGAAGGGUUUGCUCUGAGAGGGUCCAGUGAGCUCCAGUGUGGUGCCUAUGGAGAAUGGGAUGGACAACAACCAGAGUGUGAAGCAGUGAAAUGUGAGGUGGUACAUCAGCCCGAAAGGGGCUUUGUAAACUGCUCCCAGCUGGAUACAGAUCCAAGCUACAAUUCAAUCUGCAAAUUUAGUUGUGAGGAGGGCUACACCUUGAGAGGAUCAUCCAAAAUUCAAUGCACAUCCAAGGGACUCUGGUCAGAGCCAAUUCCUGUUUGUGAAGCAAUACAGUGUGAAAUACUGACACCCCCUGAGAAUGGCUUCUUGAAUUGUUCGGACCCUGAUAGACAUUUUGUCUACGGCACAAUUUGCGAGGUCAGCUGUGCAGAGGGAUGGGUGCUGGAUGGUCCCAACAGACUCCAUUGCCUGGCUGCAGGAAACUGGACGUCAAGUCUUCCUGCAUGUGGAGCUCCUUCAGCAUCUUCAAGAAACAUGACAAUUGCAGCUACAGUCACUUCGGCCUCAUUGCUUUCAAUAGGAUCGUUCCUUAUUUGGCUCAUGAAGCGUUUUCGGAGGAAAGGUGAGAUAUUUCCCUCAUCUGUUUGUUACCAGGCUACACCUAGGACUCAGGUGCACAGUUUUAAAUGCGUAGCAAAGUGCAAUACACAAACGUGACACCAGAUGGCGACAGUGUGCUGUGCCAAAUUCAAUAUCGUUUUCAAAACGAUUUUUAUAUAUAUAAAAAGCACUUUCACAGCUUUUUUUAAUGUUUGUGUAGAUUCCACCAUAGUUGCACUUAAAGGGAUGAUGCAGAAAUACGGAGUAUCAUAGAAUCACAAAAGUGUGUUGUAUAGUUGGAAAGGACCCUGAGGGUCAUCCAGUUCAACCCCGCCUGCCCCCAAUGCAGGAAUCUCAACUAAAGGUAUUAACAUUUACCUAAAUCAGGAGUUGCCAAUGCACCUGCUGGUAUCUCCUAUGACACCCAAUAAAGUACUCAGUAAAUAUCCCCUCAAUAAUCCACACUGCACAAGAGGCAGGUUGCUCGUCCUGCUCAGUAAUUGUUUGCACACACUUAGGCAUCCUUGUAUUAAACACUCUUCCUUAAACUUGCCCACAUUUCAUGGGAUGCCAUUCUGCACCGAGGAGAGGUGCAAAGAGUGUGACAGAAGCAAUGUGAUGGCAUGUGUAGGGACCUAAGAAAGUGGAAUAGUAGCAAAACGAUGUGGAGCCAUCUCCUGUGAAUGUGGAACUUUCCCCCUAGGUACUUAUGCCCAAUGGGUUUGCAGCCUUGGUUUCCAAAUACUAAUACUUCUUCUUUUUCUUUUGCAGUGAAGAAAUUUUCUCCUGCCAGGUACAUUACGUUCCAAAACUUAUGUGGAAAAUUCAAAGUAAUAUUUCAUUGACAUCACACUGUUUUAUGGCAGAGUGAUUUAUUAAUGCAUGCAUUUUUAAUUUGUGUUUUGCAGCAGUUGCUACAGCGUGAAUUCCGAAGCUGCUUUUGGUCACCUGAUUUAACUCACUCAGGAUUUCAAGCUGUCUCCUCUGGAGUAUGUGAGGAAGGAGAAUGAAGAAUGGCCCUAAGCCAGGCAUCAGAAGUUCUUGUGUUUUAUCAAUAAGAACAGCCUGAGCUAAACAUUUGCUUUUUGCAAGGGAAUACAGUAUGGGAGUGCCAGUGUCCAUCAGGCUUCUGAGAACAUGGGCAAAGACCAAACAUGGUGCCUCUGGUGGAGAGAUCUGUUAUCCUGGAACUGAAGAGAAGGUAUCACAGCAACCUGAGAAAAAUCUUCCUGCUACACCAAAGCCACCCGCCACCUAUUGGGCAUCUCUAUUGAUGAAGCUGCGUCAGAUGAGGAAGAGCACUGAAUAGCCAGUGUGGAAGAUAUUUGUUGUUUGUUUAAAGUGAAACCUAAUGGCCUUGGGCACAAUCCACCAGACUCUUCCCAUGUCCCAUUCCAUGAACAGCUAGUCUCCUUUCAUUUCAAUCCGUCUAGCAGGGAGAAUUUUCUAGUGGAUAAUUACCCACAUUUCGUGGGAUAAAAUAAUUAUUUGUAUAAUGGUUAGAGUUCAAAUGCAAUAGUGGGAAAAUUCACAUUCCGAUUCUUAACUUUUAAAUGCAUCUGUUGAAAUCUUCACCCAGAAUUUUGCAUUUUUAUUGCCAUACAAAAUAGUUGAUCUAUGCCAAAAUCCAAAUAUAUACCGUAUAUAAAAAGACAGCUAUGAAAAUGUGCUGUUUUGAUUUUAGAUUCAGCUUGGAGAUGGGUUUUAGGUUCGCACCUUUGAAUAGGAAACAUUUUGUUUCAUAUCCUAAAAGUGUUUUUUGAAACCCAGACUUCAAGUACUUUGCCAAAAAAUAAAUGUGGAUGAGUUUCACCUCUUCCUCCUGGUGUGGAAGAUAUUAUUUUGUUUUCAAUGAACUCUAUUUAUAUAUUUAUUAAUUUCUAUUUAUUAAACUUAUUAGUUGCUUGUAACCUGAAUAUCUCCAAGUAACUUACAGCAAUAUUUAUAUAUAUAUGAUCUAGCAAGCACUGAAAUUAAUUUUAGGAUAGUAGAAUCUAUUUAAUUUCUUAAAUGCUGACUUUGAAACAUUUAUGAAAGCUAUCAUAACCUUAAUUCAGUUAUAACAAUGUAGAUCCCCCCCCUUUUUUGGCUGCUAUGUUUUACAGAGCAUUUUCACUAUCAGAGCCUUCUUUGUGAAAGCAAAAGUGUAAUUACAUCUAAGGCAUUAGCAAUUUUUCAUCCCUAUGGGAUUAAGUACUGUAAUUUCAAUUUUAUUGAUUAUAUUUAUUGCUUGGGCAUUUUCAUUUCAGGGCC